GAUGAAGAACGUAGCAAAAUGCGAUACUUGGUGUGAAUUGCAGAAUCCCGUGAACCAUCGAGUUUUUGAACGCAAGUUGCGCCCGAAGCCAUUCGGCCGAGGGCACGUCUGCCUGGGUGUCACGCAUCGUUGCCCCCCCAAACUUCGGUUCGGGCGGGGCAGAAGUUGGCCUCCCGUGCGUGCCUGCGCGUGCGGUUAGCCCAAAAGCGAGUCCUCGACGACGAGCGCCACGAAAAUCGGUGGUUUUUUUGCCCUCGUUCCUCGUCGUGCGUGCCCCGUCGCCCGAACGCGCUCUUGCGACCCUCACGCGUCGCCUCGGUGGCGCUCCCAACGCGACCCCAGGUCAGGCGGGACUACCCGCUGAGUUUAAGCAUAUCAAUAAGCGGAGGA
rnacentral:misc_RNA from 1 species